CAUUUGCGAACAUAUUUACAGAAGUUAUAAUGGCGCUUCUAUGGCCACUGAAUCUGGCGCAGUUCUGGCGAUGUUGUGCGCAUUUACAGCAUUUGUGUAGGCGUGUGAUUAGCAGGUGAAAGUGUCUUUCUGUUCGUGUUCCUUCUGAUACGUGAAAGUGGUGUUUUGACAGUCAAAAACAGUCGUAGUGAACCGGCACUACGUUUGUGCAGGUUAUCAGCAGCUCAUCUGUGCAGUUAACGCAGCAAGACAACAGCAAAGGUGCCGAGCGCUCUUCAUGUUUGACAUCUUGAAGACGCAAUUGAUGCUGUCUGCUACACAAAUGCCCUGUCAUCACUUCUACGAUUGCGCCAACCGAUGAUCACAAGUGCCAUGUCUUCAUCCUAGAGAAGGGAACCGAAGAGAAGGCAAUCAUUGGCGAGAAAACUGGAUGCGUGCGUCGGCCAUGGAUAGCGGGGGUGCGAGCUUUUGGAAUUUUCAUCGAGAGAACUGCAUCUGGAGUGCAGUGUCUGCUGAUGCAUCUCGGUUCAGGACUGGCGCAUGGGAAGGUGUGCGUGACAAAUAUUUGACUAUAGUGACCCUUUGUUGCCAUAGAAAGUUGUCCAUGAGGGCCUUCAAGAGAGGGCAGGUAGUGUAGUUUCCCUUCCUUUCUUUCUGCAGGGCAUCAACGUAAGAAAGACAUCAAGGCACUAUCUGCAUGAUUUGUAGUCUGCUUGAUUGUACCCAAUAAAAAAAGUUGAAAAUUCCAAACACUGUUCAUUGUAGCUUACCUGCUUGUGAUGGAGCACGUAGCGUUCAAACUUUUGAAUGUUUAAUACUCAAUGCAAUGUGUGCAUCUUGCUCUGUGAAACAGAUGACAUAACACAAGACCGGCUGUGAAAAGUGACAUCGUCCUUUACACAGUUCCAAUUUUUUUUUUUUUUUUUGUGUGGAUGGCUUUAGGAAAAAUGUGAUUUAAGUGUAAUACUAUUUUAUGCUUACAUGUGCAGUGCAGUGACAUGCGAAUUCAGCUGUAUUGUCAGUGUGUGAACUUCUAGCACAAUU